rnacentral:rRNA from 1 species
UAAUACGUAGGGGGCGAGCGUUGUCCGGAUUCAUUGGGCGUAAAGCGCGUGUAGGCGGCAGUUUAAGUCGGCCGUGAAAUCUCCGGGCUUAACUCGGAGGGGUCGGGCGAGACUGGACUGCUCGAGGUGGGCAGAGGGCGGUGGAAUUCCGGGUGUAGUGGUGGAAUGCGUAGAGAUCCGGAGGAACACCAGUGGCGAAGGCGGCCGCCUGGGCCUGGCCUGACGCUGAGACGCGAAAGCGUGGGGAGCGAUCCGGAUUAGAUACCCGGGUAGUCCACGCCGUAAACGAUGGGCACUAGGUGUCGGGGGUAUCGACCCCCUCGGUGCCGGAGCUAACGCAAUAAGUGCCCCGCCUGGGGAGUACGGCCGCAAGGCUA